UGCAGCUGCCACCUCCAAUUGUCGAAUUCGUCGAGUGAAAGACGAGCUGAGAGAGUCAACAAGCGCUGCAAGCUGAUGCAAGCUAGGAAUCUCCCCUUUUAAGUCUCGGAUAUUAGCACAGCUCAGCGACAAGCAGAAAAAUUAGCUCCAUCUUCCCCCAGAUGUCCGCAUGGUGAGCUUUCUGGGGGGGUACUCUAGACCAGGCCGAGGGAGCCCUUGACCCGCAUCGCACAUGUGAUGACCAGUGCUGUUUUCUCUCUCCUUCCUGAAGGAGUCUCCAAAACUAUGGGGAUGAUGAUAACGCGCAAAAGCCAAACUUGAGCUUAGCGGCAGCAAUGGGCCCUCAAUUUCCCCUCUCAGGCAUUAUCCACUACCAUCCGCUAUAUGCAUAUUGCAACUGUACUGCCACGGAGCUUUUGGUAAGAUCAACAACUCUGACUGGGUUAUUGUUCACUAGUGUGUCGCCUGGUGCUUGCUAGGCUGAACUAGUUCCGAGGUAUGGGAAAUUGGGCACAUACAGAGGAGUACAUAAAAUCUCAGAUUUCAUGUUUUUGCCCACGCGAUUUUUCACGAAGAUUCAAGGGCUGACAUAUGACCUGGUUUUCGAUCAUCUUCUCGCGUAUUGAUACUCUGGGAUUCUUGUGAACGAUUGUUGCAUUUGUCGAGCUGGUCCGACGUACGAGAUUCGACGGUAUGGAAUGCUUGUGAAUGCCAGCAGCGUAAUGGACACCGGCAGACUGGCAGGGGUAGCUGUGCCAAUCUAACUAGAUGAGGUUGAUUGAAGUUAUUAGCGCGAGAAAAAGUGGAGAGAGCUGGUUCUUUUCCGAGAUGAUAAUUGCGGGGGGCGUUGAAAGAGGACAUAACAGGUAAGUUCGAACUACUUCGCAGUGUCUUAAUCUCCGGAUAAGUCGUGUGUGCUCCAUGGGCUGGGAUUGAAUCGUAGCGCGUAGGCCCUGGUAACGGGGCGAUUCGUAGUCCUUUCGGAGAAAGGUUUGUAUGGGUUGAGUCCGCGAUGUUUUACAGUGAAGAAGAAGAAGAAGAGGAGGAGGAGGAGGAGGACCCAUUCAUCUCCAUGGGGAAGGCGCUCGGAUGGCGCCUUCCCGGUAUGAACUCCAGUUCCUCCUUGUCUUCUCUACAUCGAGCAGAACUAAUGAUUCUCCUUUCGCCAAUUAUCUUGACUGGGAAUAAUCUUUCCAUCUUACAGCCAACAAAUCCCUCAAGCGUUGAUCCGUAAAUCGUGUACUCGUGACUGCAUCUGUGCUCACGCUUGUCCAAUGAUGUCUUUUUCGAUUCUGGAAAUUUCUCCUUUACUAAGUGGAGUCAACUGAAAAAAUCGUCCCAAGUGGGGUAAACAAUGCUGAUCGCUAUGAGACCUUUCCUUGUUUCGGCAUUUUCGCUGGCUUUCCCCUCUAGAGCCCUCCUGGACUGGUCGCACAGGCUGAACUUCUCGGUACAACAUGUGAACUCGCAAUGCAACCUUGGUGGAGGCGGCUUAAAUUAACUCGAGCUUGAGCCGUAGGGUCUCGAGGGCGCGUGCAGCAGCUAUGCUAGAACCAGUCCGCAAUCUUUAUUUAGCCUUCAGGACUUGGACAUGCCCUUGGCCUGUAGCGGACAAACCGAGCAACGUUACGCUGCGAUAGUUAACUAAGUUACAGACGUGUUACGCGAAAUUUUACUACAGUGAGAGCAUCGGACAUAGGUAUGAGGCUUGAGCAACAUCGCAAUCAAGUCCACGGAACAUUCUCGCCACACAGGGGUGCAUCGGUCCUCUGUCGAGAUUCACAGGAGGAUUGACUUUUUGAGGACGUGUUGAGUGAUGAGCACGGGACCGUUCUCACGGCAUAGUUACCGGAUUUGGUAGGAUUUGCACUUACCCUAGUUUCUCCUCGGCGACUCUUCUCACGAAUAACACAUCAACAUGGCAAGAUCAAUGUCCGAUGAUAUAUUAACUAUUUCAUACGUGACGAUGAUAAAUUCACGGAGAUGAGAUCGUGGGACGUCGUACGACAGAUGCAUAGCAUGAUUGCUUUGCAGCUUUCCAACUCAAUCUUAUCUGACACGGCUACAGACAGAUUUAUGUGAAGAUCUUGUCCAGAACUUGUACUAAUGUCCGACGGAAGGACAGAAAUUGGGUACUUCCUGCAUGUUGGUGUAGAUCCUCGAAGUGAAAAAUGAACCUGACAGAAUUCAAAGUCACAACAAUUUCAGAGCUGGGAAGUGAUGAACCCAGCAUCGCAAUCUUGGCGCCCUAUUUCAAAAGGCAAUUUAAUUACUUUGACUUUUUCUGUCCCAUGGGGUUCAUCCUGCCCCAACUGUUCGUAUGUUCGCCCAUAACUACCGCGUACUUAAACAAAGUUCACGAAAUUGUUUAAACUUUCAUUUCAAAUUUACAUUUUAUCCACACGAUGAUUAUGUCCUAUUCAAGCGUGUCCUCCGAUACAAGCAACGUUUUUGAACAAAGCAUGGAAGUGGUAACUUGGAUGCUUUAUUUUCGGCAUCCAAGAUAAUUACUCGUAUGAGAUGAUGAUCGCUAUAACAUGGCGUACAGCAUUACUUGGGCCAUUUACACCACUCUAUAUUUCACGCUUGAAGAGCUAGCUU
rnacentral:lncRNA from 1 species